rnacentral:lncRNA from 1 species
AAUGAUCCAUUAAGAUCAAAUGAGCGACUAUUGUUGCCAAAAUAGAAGGAAAAACCUUCAAUGUCUAACAUUAGAAUAGAGAUAGAAAGAACCAAAUAACAAUUAUUUAAAACUAGUUUAUUUCCCGAAGGAAAAUCUAAUCUAUAAGUUCUCACGCAUUCAGUAGCAACUCUUGCUCCAUUUCCCACUUGUAGAUCGACUUCCUCGAGUACCACUUUCCUAGUUUUGCUUAGGCCCUGCACAUUAUUACAAAUGUGUGAGCCACAUGCUACAUCUAAUACCCAUGAUUGUGAAUUAUCAAUAAACAUGUUUAUCUCAAUAACAAACAUACCUGGUGCACCUUGUGCCUUGUAUUUCGGGCAGUCUCUCUUCCAGUGCCCAUUUUCAUGACAGAAUAGGCACU